UACGAAGGGGGCAAGCGUUGUUCGGAAUUACUGGGCGUAAAGGGCGCGCAGGCGGCCUGACAAGUCAGAUGUGAAAGCCCCGGGCUCAACCUGGGAAUAGCAUUUGGGACUGUUGGGCUAGAGAUCGGGGGAGGAGAGUGGAAUUCCCAGUGUAGUGGUGAAAUGCGUAGAGAUCGGGAGGAAUACCUGUGGCGAAGGCGGCCUACUGGGCCGGACCUGACGCUGAGACGCGAAGGCGUGGGGAGCGAACGGG
rnacentral:rRNA from 1 species